rnacentral:lncRNA from 1 species
AGCCCGAGGGCGGGGGGAGGGGCGGAGGAAGCCGGAGGGAAAUCCUCAGCACCGGGCGCCCCUCCCUGGCCAGCCCCGGCGGGGGGACCCUGGCGGGGGACCGGCUCCCGGAGGCCCCGGAGAGCAUCAGGCGGGACUCAAGACUGCAGGGGGUGGAAAUGCAGCUCCCCGCUGCUCUGCGGGGGAGGCCCACUCGAGACCCCCUGAGACCCCAGGAGCACCAUCCAGAGGCCUGGGGGAGGAGGAGGGAGGGAGGGAGGCCGGGCCCCAGGUGUUCCCCCAGGAGCAGGGCCCCAGGUGCUCCCCCAGGAGGAGCCUGCCCGUUCUGCCUUCCCCUGGGCCCCCCACCCAGCCUCCUUGUCCAUCUUCCCUCUGCUGCUCUGCUGCCCGCUCCCUGGGGCCCGUGGCUCAGCCUGUGCAGCACUCGCAUGGCAGGGCCUUGGUCCCAUGCUCACCCGCAGCUGGGAGUGGGGUCUGCGGAGUGGGUGGCAGUCGCAGGCUGGCCCAGCAGCAGCGCUCAGGAGUCCUGUCCCCGUCCAAGCCAUUUGAGGCAAGGAUGGGCACAGCCUCUGCCCCAGGCGCACCCACCUGCAGGGACCUUCCAUGCCAUCCCCGUCCUGCCCUCUCCCCAGUGCUCCUGGCUCUCUGUGGCUCCUCCUCUGCGGAACUGGGGCCACGCAAGCUCUGCCAUGUGUCCUGCAUUCCAGGCAAGGAGGGCCCCUGGGCCCCACGUCUGUGGACGAGAGGCCCACCUGGCUGCCUCUGGGAUGGGCCUGGUGUGCGUCCCUCGGGGCCCCAGGACAUGAGGACGCGGGUGCAGGUGGGGAAGCACAGACCCUAGGUUUGCUGGGGGCGUGACAGCAGCCCCCGGAACCGUGCUUUCCAGAACCCCGUGAAGCCUCUGCCCUCAGGCAGCCCCAGGACCUUCCUUCUGACCCAGGAUGCUGCUCGACAUCUGAGGGGGUUGUGGGAAGCCUGGCCUAGUGACCCUGUGCUGGGGGAGUGGCUGUCACGGAGGAACCGCAGGGAAAGGACACACGUGGUGAGAUGGCCAGCCAGCCUUGUCAGGUCCAGACGCAGGGCAAGGAGCCAUCCUGGGCACGCGAGGCCCCUGGGCCUCCCGAAGAUUUCAGCCCCAGCCGCCCCCUAUCACAACUGCAGAGAAACCCCAAGGGAGAGCGGCCCGGCUGAGCCGGGGCCGUGGGGCACUGAGAGUUGGUGACAAAUGAGUGCUUUGAGCCACCACAUUUGGGGGCACCUUGUUACAUCACACACAAUAGCUAGAGAGGCAAGAGCUCGCGUGGCCUCGGCCUCAAGGGCGCGGGCCAGCCCGCCUGGGGUAUUCGCCCCGGGCCCUAGUGCCAGGGCGGGCGCGGGCUCAGCUCCCCUGCCCCUCGGGUCCCAGCGGCCUUGGGGGCAGCCCCCGCGCUCGGACGGGGCCCUUGGAUCCUCAGCCAAGGAAGGAGUCCGGCUCUCGGGGCCUUUCCACAGCUAGGCCCUAGGAGGGGUGCCAGCGGCUGGGGCACCCUGGGGCGGGAACAGGUGAAGGGGGCAGCUCCAGAGGCGGGGAGAGGCCGCUCCCGAGGGGGCCGGGGGCGGGCCCGGGAAGCCCCUGCCCGGCCCGGCCCGCCCCCGCCCCCAGCUCUAGGCCCCGCCCUCCUCCCGGAGCUCGUCUUCCC